rnacentral:rRNA from 1 species
GACGUAGGGCGCGAGCGUUGUCCGGAUUUAUUGGGCGUAAAGAGCUCGUAGGCGGCUUGUUGCGUCGACUGUGAAAACCCGCGGCUUAACUGCGGGCUUGCAGUUGAUACGGGCAGGCUAGAGUUCGGUAGGGGAGACUGGAAUUCCUGGUGUAGCGGUGAAAUGCGCAGAUAUCAGGAGGAACACCGGUGGCGAAGGCGUGUCUCUGGGCCGACACUGACGCUGACAGCGCGAAAGCUAGGGGAGCGAACGGG